rnacentral:rRNA from 1 species
UACGUAGGGGGCAAGCGUUGUCCGGAAUCAUUGGGCGUAAAGAGCGUGUAGGCGGCUUGGCAAGUCUGGUGUGAAAUCUUGCGGAUCAACCGCAAGCGGUCACUGGAAACUGCCUCGCUAGAGUCCGGAAGAGGAGAGCGGAAUUCCUGGUGUAGCGGUGGAAUGCGCAGAUAUCAGGAAGAACACCCGUGGCGAAGGCGGCUCUCUGGGACGGUACUGACGCUGAGACGCGAAAGCGUGGGGAGCGAACAGG